UCGAAGAUUCUCGGGAUCGCGUGCUGCACAAUUGCUCGGAAUAAUCAUAAAUUUCAAUUGUAACUGGAAACCGGCAGGUUAGAACUGCCGGCUCGAGCUGGCACCCUUGUCUUGUAGGUAGGUGCACAAUAAACUGUGUCGGUCGUAUGGCCGCGUGUCGCACACGUGGCAACACUCGAGAGAUUCCUACCGUUUGUUGUUCCCCGCACCGCUCAAGGCGUAUGCUAAUGCCUACUACGCAUGAGGACAAUCGUAACUGGCAACAGUUGAGACAUGCGGACAGCAGCGCAGCCUUUGAAUUCCGCAAGCAAAUCACCUCCAACAAAGCGGACAUUCGAGGCAAGUGUGCGCGAUGUCGAUCGUAAAAUGAAACAUCAAAAAUUAUACAGACAACAACCAAACCCGAUGGAUGAGGUUUGCUCAAGACAACAUGAAUGGUUUCUGAAUCCGAAGAAUCUUUCGAAGAUGUUGUGUACAUUGAUGUUGCAAACAACCUCGAAAUGACUAAACAAACCCAAGGGGACAUCGACAAGUGGCGACAAGAACAAAACAAUUUAACUUACAAUUUUGCUGUUUGUUCUAGGAGCAGUGAAACGAGAGUAGGUAUAAAAGACUUCGGCAAUAUUUACAUUUAUUUGAAUUUUUCCCAACAAUUGCCACCAUUCAUGUGUCGAUUAAGCUAGGGAUAAUUCCCUCUUUCUCAUUACCCUCUGCUAGCGAGCAAGUGAGGGAACGCGAAAAUGGUUUUUAUUUCGCAGAGGGUCGACGACGACGACGACGGCUCUGUAAAUUGAACGUGAAUCGAAGUAAAGUGCUUCUUCAAUAAGUGGCUCUUUCCGUUUGUUGGAACAUUACCGGACUGGAACCGACUAAUUGGAUAGCGUCGUUUCUGUCAAACCCUAUCCAUGGAAGAAAACAAUUGCUUAUAAGGCACUCACCUGUAGCGGCCUUUGCGGCGGCGCUCCCAUGCUGUGGUGAUACAUGACGUCAUGCUUCAGCUGCUGUGACAUCUGCGUGUGGGCAUGACUGCUUUGGUGUUUGCCAAUGUCUACGGCGGCCAGUGCCUCUGCUCGACUGAGGAUUCCAUCGUUGAGGCCGGAGAAUAUGUCUCCCUAGGGACGGAAAGGGAAAAGAAACAGAGAGAAGUGGAUAAAAGAUCUAAAGGCAAAUUUUAUUGACUGUACUAG